GAAGUAUACCCAGCAUACCUCCAGCAGAAGGAUUGGCCUGCUAGAGUUGUAAUGCGUUUGUAGCCUACAUGUGUGACUUAUAUAUAACAUUUGCUAACAUGAGUACACAUUGCAUACAAUGGUGUAAGUUUCCUUUUUUACCUUUAUAAACUCAACUUGCGUCUGUAAAUAUCUGUAUUCGUUGUACUAUUAUUAUUUCCGUAGCCUAGGCUACACUAAUGGUCACGUUCCAAGUCCUAUGCCUGUAAAGUGAUUUGAACGCCAAUCGGCUGCACUCCGGUACUGUACCUGCACCACGACAAGUUUCAAUGUUCAGUGGAGACGGAUGAAGUAAAGAAAAACAAGGAAGAACAACAAACAGUACCAGUGGCACCGAUAUGCAAAGACAAUAGAAGCUGUGGAUUCCCUACAACAUUUGUAGGUGAAAGUGUAAGAUGCACCAUACGUAUGCGUAAGUAAAGGGGGCUUCCGACUGGCUCCUGAGUGGCUCAGCGGUCUAAGGCACUGCAUCUCAGUGCUAGAGGUGUCACUACAAACACCCUGGUUUGAAUCCAGGCUGUAUCACAACCGGCCAUGAUUGGGAGUCACAUAGGGUGGCGCACAAUUGGCCCAGCGUCGUCUGGGUUUGGCCGGUGUAGGCCGUCAUUUUAAAUAAAAAUGUGUUCUUAACUGACUUGCCUAGUUAAAUAAAGGUUAAAUAAAAAUAAAAUAAAUAAAGUAUAUAGCUUGUCAUUUGGACUCAUAUAAAUGUUUUAUAAUGCAUACUAUAUGCCUUGUUUGACCUAUUAUACCAUAUUAAUUUGAAUGACAACAAGGAUAUCCAUAUCCUAAACUAGUAGUUGGUAUAAUUGAACAAAACCAAUUUGAGCAAUGAAUUACAUCAUUACAUCAAUGUGCAUGUUUCAGUGCUGAUUUUUAUUUAGAAAUAGUGUUUUUGACAUAUUUUCAACAGAAAUACAGCCACCAAUAACAUCAAGAGGACCAGAAAAGAUGGAAGAUGGAAAAGAUUUGGGAAAGAACCAUGAACCAACCAUUGAAUUAAAUUGUAAUGACGGUGCAAUUCACAUAUGUACUAACAUCAUAGAUUGUAGAUGGACUGGCUUCUUGAAAGACGUUGUAUUUGAUUGCCCGCUUGAUAAUGACAAGUUUCAAUGUUCAGUGGAGACGGAUGAAGUAAAGAAAAACAAGGAAGAACAACAAACAGUACCAGUGGCACCGAUAUGCAAAGACAAUAGAAGCUGUGGAUUCCCUACAACAUUUGUAGGUGAAAGUGUAAGAUGCACCAUACGUAUGCAAACACAACUACCAACAACAUCAAGAAAACCAGACAAUCUGAAGAAUAAAACAGAGCCAAAACACAAUAUACCCUGGUGGAUUUGGUUAAUAACUUUCCUUUGGCCUUUUGCCUUUGACAUUAGCGUUGGCAUUGAUGUUGGGAUUUGGAUUAAUCAAUGUCAGGAGAAAAAGGAUUAAUUUGAGACACGUGAUGAGGCGCAUAGAAGUGGAUGGAAUGAUAUAAAAAACAAAUGAGGAGGUAUUAUUGCAGGGGUUAACCUAUGGGUCCACUAGUAUGAGCCAUCAUCACCAUUUAGCCAGCAGGCUAUUUUAAUACUAAUCUCAUUGGGGUAAAUUAAUCAAAUGUUUUAAAAGAUAUAUAAAAUCUGCAUGGAUUAGUGUUUGCCAUCAUGUGUGACGCAGUGAUAAAACACCUGAAAGAAUGCCUACAUUAACAUACAGUACCAGUCAAAAGUUUGGAGACACCUACUCAUUCCAGGGUUUUUCUUAAUCUUUUACUAUCUUCUACAUUGUAGAGUAAUAGUAAAGAAGACAUCAAAACUUUGAAAUAACACAUAUUGAAUCAUGUAGUAAGCAAAAAAAGUGUUAAACAAAUCCAAAUAUAUUUUAGAUUUGAAAUUCUUCAAAGUAGCCACCCUUUGCCUUGAUGACAGCUUGGCACACUCUUGGCAUUCUCUCAACCAGCUUAAUGAGGAAUGCUUGAAGAAGUUCCCACAUAUGCUGAGCAGUUGUUGGCUGCUUUUCCUCCACUCUGCGGUCCCAAACAAUCUCAAUUGGGUUGAGUUCGGGUGAUUGUGGAGGACAGGUCAUCUGAUGCAGCACUCCAUCACUCUCCUUGGUCAAAUAGACCUUACACAGCUUGGAGGUGUGUUUUGGGUCAUUGUCCUGUUGAAAACAAAUGAUAGUCCCACUAACCUUACAGUGAAAUGCUUACUUACAGGCCUCUAACCAACAAUGCAGUUUAAAAAAUAUGAAUAAGAAUAAGAAAUAAAAGUAACAAGUAGUUAAAGAGCAGCAGAAAAAUAACAAUAGUGAGACUAUAUACAGGGGGUACCGGUACAGAGUCAAUGUGCGGGGGCACUGGUUAGUUGAGGUAAUAUGUACAUGUAGGUUAUUAAAGUUAUUAAAGUGACUAUGCAUAGAUAAUAACAUAGUAGCAACGGCAUAAUAGAGGGGAGGGGGGGGGCAAUGCAAAUAGUCUGGGUAGCCAUUUUAUUAGAUGUUCAGGAGUGUAAUGGUUUGGGGAUAGAAGCUGUUUAGAAGCCUCUUGGACCUAGACUUGGCACUCCGGUACCGCUUGCUGUGCGGUAGCAGGGGGGGCUGGAGUCUUUUUGGGGGGCUGGAGUCUUUAACAAUUUUAGGGCCUUCCUCUGACACUGCCUGGUAUAGAAGUCCUGGAUGGCAGGAAGCUUGGCCCCAGUGAUGUACUGGGCCAUACGCACUACCCUCUGUAAUGCCUUGCGGUCGGAGGCCGAGCAGUUGCCAUACCAGGCAAUGGUGCAACCAGUCAGGAUGCUGUUGAUGGUGCAGCUGUAAAACCUUUUGAGAAUCUGAGAACCCAUGCCAAAUCUUUUCAGUCUCCUGAGGGGGAAUAGGUUUUGUUGUGCCCUCUUCACGACUGUCUUGGUGUGCUUGGACCAUGUUAGUUUGUUGGUGAUGUGGACGCCAAGGAACUUGAAGCUCUCAACCUGCAGCUCCGUCAAUGAGAAUGGGGUCCGGUCCUCCUUUUCCUGUAGUCCACAAUCAUCUCCUUUGACUUGAUCACAUUGAGGGGGAGGUUAUUGUCCUGGCUCCACAUGAAGCUGGUUGAGCUGUCAUCAAGGCAAAGGGUGGCUACUUUGAAGAAUGUCAAAUAUAAAAUAUAUUUUGAUUUGUUUGACACUUUUGGUUACUACAUGAUUCCAUAUGUGUUAGUUACUUCAUAGUUUUGAUGUCUUCACUAUUAUCUACAAUGUAGAAAAUAGUCAAAAUUAAGAAAAACCCUGGAAUGAGUAGGUGUGUCCAAACCUUUGACUGGUACUGUACCUUAACAGAAAGUUUGAAAAUGGUUUACAGUAGUUACUACAAAUGUUAUUAUAAGGAGUAAUUAAUAUGACCGCCACAAAAUGACAUACGAUCAAAGGCUUCUCCCUCUUCUAUUGUUAGUUUAAUAAUCUGAUAAUAUGUGAAGCAUGACUCAGGUGGAACGUGGGUGGUUUCAUAACAUCCACUCACUCAAUCUACUCCCCAUGACUCAACCUUACUGUGAACUGCUGGGGCUCAAACUGGAUAUAGCUGUUUUAAUGUUUGCGACACUACUAACUACACUAACUGCAUUAAUCAUCAACUGAUAUGAGUAUUUUGACUUCAUCCUAACCCCAAUUACAAUACUUUUCAAGAUACCAAACAAAUAACAUAAUAUUUGGUUAAGAUAUGAUAAGAUGAUCAUUUUAGAAGAGAGCAAAGGACUUUUUUUGUCCAUGUCACUGGAAUGAUGGAAUGAACUUUAUUUGUCCAUACAGUGUAGUUACUGUUUUGCCUAACCCUCUCCUACCUAGGACUUAUUGUUUACUACUUUUAAAUACUAAUUGUGUUUGUGCACUUCCUCAAGAAAAUAUUUAUGUUCAAUUUUAAUUAUUGAAAUGUUUUUUUUUCUGUAAUUUAGGAUUUUAUAAUUGUGGGGAUUUCUUCUACUGUUGUUUUUGAUUUACAGUACCUACGGUGCAUUUUGUGCUUGCUUCAUUAUCCUUAUUGGGAUGCACUCAUUGCUUGAUCAUCAGCUAAAUUAUUCAAUUGUUCAUUGUAAUUCUAAUUGUCACGCCCUGGUCUUAGUAUUUUGUGUUUAUAUAUUAUUUGGUCAGGCCAGGGUGUGACAUGGGGUUAUUUUGUGUUGUGUUGUGGUAUUGGGGGUUUUAGUAGGUAUUGGGAUUGUGGCUGAGUAGGGGUGUCUAGCAUAGUCUAUGGCUGCCUGAGGUUCUCAAUCAGAGUCAGGUGAUUCUCGUUGUCUCUGAUUGGGAACCAUAUUUAGGUAGCCUGGGUUUCACUGUGUGUUUGUGGGUGAUUGUUCCUUUCUUAGUGUUUUGUAUUUCACCAGAUAGGCUGUUGUCAUUAUUUCAUUUUGUUAGAUUUGUAGUUUCUGUAUGUAUAGGUUUUCCUUCAUUAAAAUAUAUCAUGAAUCAUCAUCACGCUGCAUUUUGGUCCGAUCCUUGUUCUACCUCUUCGUCAGAGGAGGAGAUAGAAGAGAGCCGUUACACUAAUGUUACAUUUUAGAUUGUUC
ensembl:lncRNA